GCUUUGUAUAGCGCUCUGGAGCAGUAUUGGAGAGGUUUAGUGUGUGUUAAGGACGCUGUGCUUUGGCAUUAUUAAGACAGUCUCGUUCACACACUGUCACGUACACACACUCUCAAGUGGCCAAGACUGCAAGUGUGGGUAUCUGGACAGGGUCAAAGUCUUAAAAAUGAUCCCUAAACACAUCACAGUCUUAAUAAUCCAGUUUAACACUUGUAUGAUAUUGUACAAGCCCCAGGACGAUCUCAUCUGACAAUAUCAAAAGAAUUCAUAUGACUAUAGCUUGCUAUUAAUUACUUGCUUUCAAUAAUGGAUGCAUUUAACAUUUAAUUAUACAGCAUCUUUACAGAGGUGUAAUGUACAAGUUGCACGUAAUUAAUAAUAUUUCCUUCUUUCUGUCUUACAGGAUUUUUUGCAGAUAAUCCUAAUGCUGUUCUUCUUUUUCAGGUCUAAAAUAUCAAGCUCAACAACUCACUCAAGAGCCAACCCUCACAAACCUUCCUAAAAACUAAAAGAGCUAUUACUGAGUCUCAGCGAAUCUUGCCAUGAUCAGCUCUUCCCAGAAGAGAAGGAAGACCAAGGAAAUGAUUUGCUCAGGAUGAGAAAUGAAGAUGGCCAUCUUGUGCUCAAGCAAACAGAAGUCCUCUGAUGAUCUCAUCAGCCAAAUGAGGGGUUUUGACCAAGUGAUGCUCUUGAAAGGAGUGAAAGAAGAGGAUGUGGUAAAUUGUCUUCAGAGAAAAGCUUCUCAAAAGAUCUUAAAACAGCUUGAAGAAUGGUCUGGGAUCUUAGGACUGAGAGAUCAUCUGGCUGAGAACAAGCUACACCUCAUCAGUGCUGGACAUCAACCACAAACUGUUUCCAGACACGAGAGAAGAAGAUCACGAUGGGAGAUGAAACCAGUUUAGAUGUGAUGAUGGGAAUCAUUAUUUUCUGAAACAGUAUCACAUGUCUUAUAUGUAUCACAUGAUCUGUAUCACAGUUGACUGGAUGGGACUGUGUGACUUUUAAGGACAUUUCAUCACUCAUCUGUGUGAACUGAUUUAUAUAUGAGGUUUAAUGUAUCUUUGAUGAUAAUUAUUUUCAUUGAAUC
rnacentral:lncRNA from 1 species